rnacentral:rRNA from 1 species
AUUGCCUAGUAACGGCGAGUGAAGCGGCAACAGCUCAAAUUUGAAAUCUGGCUCUUUCAGAGUCCGAGUUGUAAUUUGCAGAGGGCGCUUUGGCUUUGGCAGCGGUCCAAGUUCCUUGGAACAGGACGUCACAGAGGGUGAGAAUCCCGUACGUGGUCGCUAGCUAUUGCCGUGUAAAGCCCCUUCGACGAGUCGAGUUGUUUGGGAAUGCAGCUCUAAAUGGGAGGUAAAUUUCUUCUAAAGCUAAAUAUUGGCCAGAGACCGAUAGCGCACAAGUAGAGUGAUCGAAAGAUGAAAAGCACUUUGGAAAGAGAGUCAAACAGCACGUGAAAUUGUUGAAAGGGAAGCGCUUGCAGCCAGACUUGCUUGCAGUUGCUCAUCCGGGCUUUUGCCCGGUGCACUCUUCUGCAGGCAGGCCAGCAUCAGUUUGGGCGGUGGGAUAAAGGUCUCUGUCACGUACCUCUCUUCGGGGAGGCCUUAUAGGGGAGGCGACAUACCACCAGCCUGGACUGAGGUCCGCGCAUCUGCUAGGAUGCUGGCGUAAUGGCUGUAAGCGGCCCGUCUUGAAACACGGACCAAGGAGUCUAACAUCUAUGCGAGUGUUUGGGUGUCAAGCCCGAGCGCGUAAUGAAAGUGAACGGAGGUGGGAACCCGCAAGGGCGCACCAUCGACCGAUCCUGAAGUUUACGGAAGGAUUUGAGUAAGAGCAUGGCUGUUGGGACCCGAAAGAUGGUGAACUAUGCUUGAAUAGGGUGAAGCCAGAGGAAACUCUGGUGGAGGCUCGCAGCGGUUCUGACGUGCAAAUCGAUCGUCAAAUUUGGCAUAGGGCGAAAGACUAAUCG